UACAGAGGUCUCAAGCGUUGUUCGGAGUUACUGGGCGUAAAGGGUGCGUAGGCGGCUCUAUAAGUAUGGUGUGAAAUCUCCCGGCUCAACCGGGAGGGUGCGCCGAAUACUGAGUGACUAGAGUGCGGGAGAGGAAAGUGGAAUUCCUGGUGUAGCGGUGAAAUGCGUAGAUAUCAGGAGGAACACCGGUGGUGUAGACGGCUUUCUGGACCGUAACUGACGC
rnacentral:rRNA from 1 species